rnacentral:sRNA from 1 species
GGCAGGUGUGGUGGGGCAUGCCUGUAAUCCCAGCAGCUCUGGAGGCUGAGGUAGGAGGAUCACAGUUUCGAGGCCAGCCUCAGCAACUUAGUGAGGCUUUAAACAAUCUAGUGAGACCCUGUCUCAA